AUUGAACGCUGGCGGCAGGCCUAACACAGGCAAGUCGAGCGGAGCGGCGGACGGGUGAGUAAUGCCUAGGAAUCUGCCUGGUAGUGGGGGAUAACGUCCGGAAACGGGCGCUAAUACCGCAUACUAUCAGAUGAGCCUAGGUCGGAUUAGCUAUUUGGUGGGGUAAAGUCCUACCAAGGCGAAGAUCCGUAACUGGUCUGAGAGGAUGGUCAGUCACAGUGGACAUGGGACACGGGCCAGCAUCCUACGGGUGGCAGCAGUGGGGAAUAUUGGGAAAUGGGCGAAAGCCUGAUCCAGCCAUGACGCGUGUGUGAAGAAGGUCUUCGGAUUGUAAAGCACUUUAAGUUGGGAGGCGUUACCAACAGAGUAAGCACCGGCGAACUUCGUGCCAGCAGCCGCGGUAAUAC
rnacentral:rRNA from 1 species